AUGAAGUGGCGCCAAGCUUCUGGCGUUCUCUGUGACAAAAGAGUGCUACAAAAGCUAAUAGGUGUAGCGGAGAUGCGCAUGUUGAGAUGGAUGUGUGGCCACACAAGGAAGGACAAGAUCCGGAAUGAUGAUGUACAGGAUAGAGUUGGGGUAGCACCGAUUGAAGAGAAGCUUGUCCAACAUCGUCUAAGAGGGUUUGGGCAUAUUCAACGCCGGCCUCCAGAAGCUCCAGUGCAUAGCGAACGGCUAAAGCGUGUUGAUGAUGUCAAGAGAGGUCGGGGUAGACCGAGCUUGACAUGA
rnacentral:rRNA from 1 species